GGUAGCUGAACCCUACUCCCUCACGUCUUCUGCUUUCUUUAAUUUGCUUGGACGGAAGCAAACCCGCAGAAGCAGCCCCACGAUUCCUCUUCUCCUCUGCCAUGCCGCACUCACGCAUGCCUCAUCCCCACCGAGAAUUUUCUUCCCUGUAGCUCACCCACGUAUUUCAUUCGGUCAGCAAAUCAGCAACUUCUUCUCAUGGUUAACUCCAACAGCGACGAAAAGGAGUCCUCCGAGAGACCUCACGUCCCGCAAGCCCCGCAGCUGCAACUCAGCCCGGUUCCUGGUCGUUCCAUCACUGCGGCCACUGAAUCUAGUCAAACCGUGUCCAUUCAGCCACUGAUUUCAUCCCUGCAGAACCGAUUCAUCAAGGUCAGAAGCUCGGGAGCAGAAUACCCAACUCGAAUAGCGAGCUUGUAGGCUGAUUUCGGCCCCGAUUUGGCCCCGCUUGGCAGUCCUGCUUUGAGGUUUAUCGGCACUCGUCGCAUGCUCAUCAAUUUGAUCCGAGCGGAUCUUUAAUCAAGACCCUGAUGAAGAACCCGAGGAUAAAGAACUCGAAGAGGUGUAUCUGGAGGAGAACCCUGAGGAUGAUCUGGAGUAGGAUCCUGAUGACUUUUGCUGUAGAAUCAAUUUGAGUAGAAACCAAUCGUUUUAGUAUGGCUUGUAUAUGAAUAUAAGGGUGUUGGUUUUCAGGUUCAAUUUCCUAGUCCUACUUGUA